CAGCACACAGGACAGGACCCGAAACAUUCUAUCACAAAAACUAAGAGGAUCCACCUGCCGUCAGCACAGAGGACUCACCUGCCACAGCACAGAAUAGCUGCCAGCAAAAGAGGGAGAUAUCAGAACAAUAAAAGAAUGCCAGCUAAACCUAAAAGUGGUGCGCAAAAGCGCAAAGAAAUGAAGGAAG